rnacentral:rRNA from 1 species
GACGAACGCUGGCGGCGUGCUUAACACAUGCAAGUCGUACGGUAAGGCCCUUUCGGGGGUACACGAGUGGCGAACGGGUGAGUAACACGUGAGUAACCUGCCCACAACUUUGGGAUAACGCUAGGAAACUGGUGCUAAUACUGGAUAUGUGCUCCUGCUGCAUGGUGGGGGUUGGAAAGCUCCGGCGGUUGUGGAUGGACUCGCGGCCUAUCAGCUUGUUGGUGGGGUAGUGGCCUACCAAGGCGGCGACGGGUAGCCGGCCUGGGGGGGUGACCGGCCAAAUUGGGGCUGAGGUAAGGCCCAGACUCCUACGGGAGGCAGCAGUGGGGAAUAUUGCACAAUGGGCGCAAGCCUGAUGCAGCAACGCCGCGUGCGGGAUGACGGCCUUCGGGUUGUAAACCGCUUUCAGCAGGGACGAAGCUUUUUGUGACGGUACCUGCAGAAGAAGCACCGGCUAACUACGUG